UGCUUCGAUUGAUUGCUCACU
rnacentral:piRNA from 1 species